GAUGAACGCUAGCUACAGGCUUAACACAUGCAAGUCGAGGGGCAGCGGGGUUGAAGCUUGCUUCAACCGCCGGCGACCGGCGCACGGGUGAGUAACACGUAUCCAACCUGCCGAUAACUCCGGGAUAGCCUUUCGAAAGAAAGAUUAAUACCGGAUGGCAUAGUUUUCCCGCAUGGAAGAACUAUUAAAGAAUUUCGGUUAUCGAUGGGGAUGCGUUCCAUUAGGCAGUUGGCGGGGUAACGGCCCACCAAACCGACGAUGGAUAGGGGUUCUGAGAGGAAGGUCCCCCACAUUGGAACUGAGACACGGUCCAAACUCCUACGGGAGGCAGCAGUGAGGAAUAUUGGUCAAUGGACGAGAGUCUGAACCAGCCAAGUAGCGUGAAGGAUGACUGCCCUAUGGGUUGUAAACUUCUUUUAUACGGGAAUAAAGUUAGCCACGUGUGGUUUUUUGCAUGUACCGUAUGAAUAAGGAUCGGCUAACUCCGUG
rnacentral:rRNA from 1 species